rnacentral:lncRNA from 1 species
UCUUUACUGGCGAAACAAACUGUUGCGGCAGCCAUGCUUGUGAGCUUAUGAUGUGCCGCUAGUUUAGUUUGUCGGUUUCUGUGAACCGUUCUCUGUGAUGUAUGAUGUAUUGCUGCUGUUAGCUGUAAAUGUGUUGUAUGAUGAGUUGACUUGAUGGUUCGUUUGAGGCUGUCUUGUGAAGGUUACUGUUAGUUAACAUGAGUUAAACAAAUACAUACACUUGCUGCUGUUAGCUGUAAACAUGAGUUGACUUGAUGGUUCGUUUGAGGCUGUCUUGUGAAGGUUACUGCUAGUUAACAUGAGUUAAACUAUUACAUGCACUGGGACCCAUUUGACUAG